rnacentral:ncRNA from 1 species
UCAAAAUUAAUGACGAGAAGAGUAGUUUGUUCAUUUUGACUUUAGAGAGCCGGCGGUUGGUGAAAGGCGGUGUCAGGACACAAGUGAAAAUCAUCUCUGAGAUGCAAGGCCGAAAAUAGAAAAGCGGAAGCGACUUUUUUGUAACGUACCUUCGUUGCUGGGAGCAUCCACUAGACAUCUUAGUAAGCCUUUGCCGGACCGCCCGCCGUUAAGUUAGGGACACGUAUGAUUGUACGUUGAACGAGAGCCGCAAUUGUUUUUUUGUUGCGGAAGUAGGGUGGUAACGCGAGCUAGCUCGUCCCUAUC